rnacentral:sRNA from 1 species
CGCAGUUAAGCGUGCUUGGG